GAAGACGACAAAGAGGUUGUGAAAUGUCUCCUAAUCAUAUCACAGCCAGCUUUGUUGACUUCCU
rnacentral:pre_miRNA from 1 species